GAUGAACGCUGGCGGCGUGCUUAACACAUGCAAGUCGAACGAUGAAGCCCAGCUUGCUGGGUGGAUUAGUGGCGAACGGGUGAGUAACACGUGAGUAACCUGCCCUUAACUCUGGGAUAAGCCUGGGAAACUGGGUCUAAUACCGGAUAGGAGCGUCCACCGCAUGGUGGGUGUUGGAAAGAUUUAUCGGUUUUGGAUGGACUCGCGGCCUAUCAGCUUGUUGGUGAGGUAAUGGCUCACCAAGGCGACGACGGGUAGCCGGCCUGAGAGGGUGACCGGCCACACUGGGACUGAGACACGGCCCAGACUCCUACGGGAGGCAGCAGUGGGGAAUAUUGCACAAUGGGCGCAAGCCUGAUGCAGCGACGCCGCGUGAGGGAUGACGGCCUUCGGGUUGUAAACCUCUUUCAGUAGGGAAGAAGCGAAAGUGACGUUACCUUCAGAAGAAGCACCGGCUAACUACGUG
rnacentral:rRNA from 1 species